AUUUCUAUAGUUGAAUUACAACGAUGGUUUUUCAGAUUUUAAGUUUUGGUUAGAAUCCAAAUAGAAGUA
rnacentral:tRNA from 1 species